AAGUAAGAAGCAAUCUUCAUGCAUUUAGUUUCGACCUAAAAAUUUGAUACCAAAAUAUCCUUACUUUU
rnacentral:tRNA from 1 species